UCUGUACUUCUUAAGAAAUAAACGUCUAUCGAGUAUAUAUUACUAAAGCCUGUGAGUUUUUUUUCUUGUGAUGUUAUUUUAAUUUAACUUAAACUACAUUACGCUAUGUUUUAUGCAAUAAAACAGUAAAGAGGUUUUCUAUAGGUGAAUUUUUACCUAUGUCAUUCGCGCGUUUGUCAAAUUGACUGAUGUGUAUAUGUACAUAGAGUGAGGUUAAUUUUGGGUUUAUUAUUGUUGAAUAGAUAAGUUUAUUUUGGCAGAGAAGAGAAAACGAGGAUAAACCUUUCUUGCAGAAGAAAAAGACAAGCUAGUGAAAUUGCUGACGUCUCAUAGAGACACAAUAUUAAACAAAAACCGGAUGGGACCACGAACGAAGCCAAAAACAAAGCUUGGAUCCAGUCACAAAUAGUUUUAAUGCGACAGGAACCCUUUACAGUUUCAGGUGGUGCGAGAAAUUGGAAAGACGUGUAAAAACAUGCUGCGCCCAGCCCACCUCAAAUUGAAUUGGUGCAGGAGGAUGAUGAUAAUGUUUGGUACAUCAUAUGAGGAAUAAUAUUAAAAUAUUUGUUUACUAUCUUUGUUUUAAUUUACAUAAUUUAUUAUGUUCAAUGUUAGCCUACUUCUUACCUCCAGAGGGUAUCCCCUAUCACCUAGGAGAUAGGCUCCUCCAUAUUCACCAUUUUCGAAUCAUUGGUAUCUACUGCAGUUUUGGUAUUUAAGGCCUAUUCAAACCUGAGCGAUAUUCGCUGCCGCUGUGGGUAGAGGUAGAUACCGCGCCGGUUUCGCUCAGGUAUUUAGUAUCAAGUAUAGUUACCGGCACGGAUAUUGAGCUCUCGGCGGAAGAGUGGGGAUCGCUUUGCGCACUGUACACAAGGCAAUAAACCAAUAAAUGGCUUCUGCGCAGGUGAAGGUCAGGGCUCAAUAUCCGUGCCGAUAACUAUACCGCGGCUAGAGCGACCUGAGCGAUAUCCACUGCCGCUGUGGGUAGAAGUACAUACCGCGCGGCAGCAGUGGCAUGCAUCCCGAACAUCAACAGUAAUAUUAACGCAUACCCACUGGGUUUUCUCUGUCGCAGGUGGUAGCGAAUACCGCUUAGGUCUGAAUAGGCCUAUAGUUGUCCCGGCCACCGCGAAACUACAUCAGUGAUUACCAGAUUUGCAUCUGUUAUGGUCUGUAUAUUUAUGGACAUGCAGGACUUCCUAUUUUUGAAUAAUUCAGCGACAUCACGACCUAGCAAGUGCAUUCAUAGCAAGUGAUAACCUAUAAUCUUAUAAAAAAGUCAUGAUCAUCGUACUUUUUUCUCAGACAUCUGCUCUUUCACGUAAGAUAGGUACGUGGUCUUCUAAUGAUUAUUAUUUUACAUAUCCACAACCUCCACAGCUUCUAAACUUUCUAAAAGUUUACGUUUCAUUUUUUUUUUUGCUUUUUAAACAUGGUAUUUUUUUGUUACAUAACAUAUAAAGGUACAUUUCACUAUCCAUCGCCAGAAACGGUUCAAAAUAUGUUUGUAUUCUGUAAUGAUAAUGAUAGGAGUUGUUUAAGCAGGCAUCAAUCGGGCUCCCAAGUUCAAGUGAAAUUUGUAGGUUAAAAUUGACACCUAGGCUUUGGUGAAAAUGAAAUUCUUAUUAAGUGUUCCGUAAAUGCUCCCUAAAUUUAGGUAUUCGUUGGUGAAAACGGGCAUU